GUUGCUGUAUGUGGGAUGCGGCCUCAGCAUGGCUGGAGAAGCGGUGCUUCGGUGCGCGCCCGGGAUCUGAACCCGGGCCGCCAGCAGCGGAGCGCGCACACCUAACCGCUAAGCCACGGGCCGGCUCUGGAUGUAGGUUUCUUAUUAACACUCUAAUGAGGAAUUUACUGUUUGCCUCAUUUCACAUAAGAGGAAACCGAAGCUUAAGCCACUCGGCUUGUUAUGUGGAAGAGUUGGGAUUUAACUCCAGAUCUCUGACUCACCCACCACAGUCACAUAGAUGAGAUUAUCAACUAUUCCAGUGAGGGCGGGGGAAGAGUGUCACAACAGUAGAGCUUUAAAAAAUAACAGGAUUCCCAGAAACUGCCACGCUGUUAUUGGGUGUACUUCAGGCAUUACGUAGAUUUAGUUUGAGGUUUUCAGUUCUGCAGGAUUGGUUUCUCCGUUUCAGUCCUGAACUUUGUUCAUUCUCUGGAACUCUUGUGUUUAUAGAGAAAGCAUAGUGUUUAUUCAUUCAACAAACAUUUCCUGAUCACUGUGUGCCAUGCCCUUCUAUUGGGGUUUUAGAAAUGACCUGGUGAGGUCUCUCAUAGCUUGACAGGGCUGCGCAUUUGGAUGCUAGGAUCCCAGUCUCAUCUGGGGCUACAAGUUCUAAAUAGCUAUGUGAUUACGGAGAAACCGGACAGGGAGCCUUCUCAAGGUCCCCUCAGCUAUUGGUGAAAUCAGUAGUUGGGACGACAGUUUAAGAACUACUAUGCUCAUGGUGUGUGGGCAGUGGUGCCAGGGAUUGCAAAACUGGCACUGCCUCCAGGAAAUCCACACUGUGUGGUCACUUCUCCGACGGAGGAAAACUAGGGAGCCCUGGGAUCCCUAGCUGGAAGGGCUGAGAGUUCACUGCGUCCUCCCCAUUGUACCACAGAGGACUGGGGCUCAGAGAGAAGGGGCUUGCCCAAGAUCGUGCAGCAAGGCUGUAGCGGAGCAGAGGCCGGAAUGAAGGUUCCUGCUUCCCUGCUGGGGCUCCUUCCCGGAACUGUGCCGUGCGCCCUGUUUUAAGCCUCUGCAUAAGCCAGCCGACCUCUCUCUAGAGGCCAGGCUCUGGAACUAGAUAAACCGGGGGGUGGGCUUCGAUUAGUGGGCGGUGUUUAUCAAAGGGGGAGGAGUAAAGGCUGCAAGGUUAGCUAGGAAAAAUAAAGUGCAUCAUGUUAGUAAAUCUAGGAGAAAGCCAGCAGGUUCAUGAGACUGCGUGGAGGGGCAGAGUAGGGAGAAGCAGCCGGCAGAGCGGCACUGUUGGGCAUUCUUGUGACCACAAAUGUUAGGUGAGCCAAGAACACAGUGAACUGACCCAGUAGGGUUAAGGUCAAGGCUAAACUGUUUAAAUACUGUUCCUGGUUGCUCUGGCAACUAGGUCUCUUCCCCAUGCUAAAGACGUUAUAAUAAAAUCAAACAUUAACUAAAUAGGAAUCAAAGGUGUAGUCAUACGUAGUCUAGAUCACGCCAUUUUGGAGAAAGGUCUCGAAGUUUGUGCCUCAGAAAGAAAUGGAGACAUGAGAGAAAGAACUUGAAUUACACAUCAAAGAGUUAAACUGGUCCUGCAAACACACUUGUCUUUCUUCCCAUUGACUCUGUCCUAGGCGGUGUAGACAAUAUAUCCUGGAGUUGCACGUCCCUGUGGUCUCACCUGUUCUACUCAAGGAUAUGGUUGCUGGAACAGGAAGCCUUUCCCUAUUCAACCACAGUAAUGUAGGCUGCCAGAGAACAGGAGCAAAUGGUCGUUUGGAGGAUAAUUCAGCAAAUAACUCAAUGACGUACUCACAGGUUACAUACAGCACAAGCCUACUAUCUUCCAUCAAGAUCACCUCAGGAUUGCAAAAUGGCUGCUGCAGCACCAGUCAUUGCAUCUAUAUUUCAGGCAGAGGAAGAGGGAAGGCCAACAAGGGGUCUGCCAACGGAGUCAGUCCCCUUUUCAGGGAGCAUUUCCAGAAGUCCUAUACUACAGUUUAUUCCUUCAUUCCAUUGGCCAGAAGUUAGUCACAUGGCCACUCUUAUCUGGAAGGGAGGCUGGGAAAUCUAAUUGUUCAGCUGGGCACAUUGCCACCUCCAACAAAAUCAGGACUGUGUAUAAGUAAGAAGAGAAGAAUGAAUUUUGUGUAGGCAACCAGCAGUGUCUGCCACAACCUCCAAAUCAGGUCUGACCUGUCUUUGCAUAGCCAAUGACUGAUUAUUCUAUUCAAUCUAAGAAGCUGUCACACUGCUGAUGGGCGGGAGUGGAAGUAAAAGAAAGGGCUGAACCUUUCAUCUGCUGUCUUUACUAAGUCUCUGCGAGUGGCCAGGGCAGCCUAGAGAUUUAUUUUCCCCUGAUGGGAAAUUUACCACCCUCCUUAGAAGGCAGAAACAGUUACAGUUGCCUUUUAUUUUCCUACUGCUGCACCCAAGGAUUGUUGUGAGAAUCAAAAGACAGAUAUGAGAAAGCAUGUUGUAAACUACAAAAUGCUGUUCAGUGACAGCAAUGAUCGUUUGUCAUCAUUAUGAGUGUUGUCAUGUCUCCUAAAGCUGCCUGCUCAGUUGAAGGAAAGAGUUUUCUGAGAGACGUUGACAGUGGGAGCCAAAGAGAAGAGAGAGAGGAGGGGGAAGGGGACCAGAGAGACAGAGAGAAGAGGGGAGAAGGAUGAGUGGAGAGAGGACAGAGGGAAGAGAGAAGAGGGGAGGCCCUUUCCACCUCAAAGGCAGAACAGAAAUAUCUCGACCCACCUGAACCCCGUGACUGACGCAGAGACACACGCAGCUCUGGGAGACGGCAUCACAGCUCUCUACUCAGGUUCCUCUGACUAUUGAAACACGCCUCCCUCGUUCAAAGCAAUGCGUGUAUACUGAAGACUUUAUGAAAAGCACAAGGAAGGUUUUUUGAUGUAUAAUUGACUUACAAUAAACUGUGCAUAUGUAAAGAGUAUAACGUGAUACAUUAUGACAUAAGUAUACGCUCGGGAAGUCAUCGCUACAGCCAACACGAUGAACACGUCCGUUACCCCGUGCUGCCUCCCUCCUGCUCCUCCCUGUCCCCUCCCCACCAAGGAGCCCCGAUCUGCUUUCUGCCACUCGGGAUUAGUGUGCAUUUUCUUGAAUUUUAUACAAAUGGAACGCAAAAUUCCAUGUGUAACGUAUGUACUCCUUUGUGCCUGGCUUCUUUCACUCAGCGUAACUAAAAAAACCCCCAAAUUACAGAGAAGUGUACUUAAUGAUAAAAUGUAGACCGGCCAGGAUUGAGAGCAGCUAAUAUUGAGUCGUAUUUGCUUCAGCUU